rnacentral:rRNA from 1 species
UACGGAGGAUCCGAGCGUUAUCCGGAUUUAUUGGGUUUAAAGGGUGCGUAGGCGGCCUAUUAAGUCAGGGGUGAAAUACGGUGGCUCAACCAUCGCAGUGCCUUUGAUACUGAUGGGCUUGAAUCCAUUUGAAGUGGGCGGAAUAAGACAAGUAGCGGUGAAAUGCAUAGAUAUGACAUAGAACACCAAUUGCGAAGGCAGCUUACUACACAAUGAUUGACACUGAGGCACGAAAGCGUGGGGAUCAAACAGG